UAGAGCCUACCAUGGUGGUAACGGGUAACGGGGUGUUAGGGCACGACACCGGAGAGGGAGCCUGAGAAACGGCUACCACAUCCAAGGAUGGCAGCAGGCGCGCAAAUUACCCAAUCCCGACACGGGGAGGUAGUGACAAUAAAUAACAAUACGGGGUUCUUUCGGAUUUCGUAAUUGGAAUGAGUACAAUUUAAAUCUCUUAAUGAGGAACAAUUGGAGGGCAAGUCUGGUGCCAGCAGCCGCGGUAAUUCCAGCUCCAAUAGCGUAUAUUAAAGUUGCUGCAGUUGAAAAGCUCGUAGUUGAAUUUCGGGACCAAUAUGUCGGUCGUGCCUCGGUACGUACUGGCAUCGUUGGUUUCUCCCUUCUGACGAACCAUGAUGUCAUUUAUUUGGUGUCGUGGGGAAUCAGGACUGUUACUUUGAAAAAAUUAGAGUGUUUAAAGCAGGCUCACGCUUGAAUACAUUAGCAUGGAAUAAUGAAAUAGGACGUUUGAUUCUAUUUUGUUGGUUUCUAGGAUCGACGUAAUGAUUAAUAGGGAUAGUUGGGGGCAUUAGUAUUCAAUUGUCAGAGGUGAAAUUCUUGGAUUUAUUGAAGACUAACUACCGCGGAAGCAUUUGCCAAGGAUGUUUUCAUUAAUCAAGAACGAAAGUUAGGGGAUCGAAGACGAUCAGAUACCGUCGUAGUCUUAACCAUAAACUAUGCCGACUAGGGAUCGGAUGAUGUUAAUUUUUUAAUAACUCAUUCGGCGCCUUACGGGGAAACCAAAG
rnacentral:rRNA from 1 species